AAGUCGAACGAAGUAGCAAUACUUAGUGGCAGACGGGUGAGUAACAUGUAGGUAUCUGCCCUUUGGCCUGGAAUAACACGAGGAAACUUGUGCUAAUACCGGAUAAGUCUUUACGGAGAAAGCUUUAUGCACCAUUGGAUGAGCCUGCACUUGAUUAGUUUGUUGGUGGGGUAAUGGCCUACCAAGACUGUGAUCAAUAGCUGAUUUGAGAGGAUGAUCAGCCACAUUGGGACUGAGACACGGCCCAAACUCCUACGGGAGGCAGCAGUGGGGAAUCUUGCACAAUGGAGGAAACUCUGAUGCAGCGAUGCCGCGUGGGUGAAGAAGGCCCUUGGGUUGUAAAGCUCUUUCGCCGGGGAAGAAAAUGACUGUACCCGAAUAAGAAGGUCCGGCUAACUUCGUGCCAGCAGCCGCGGUAAUACGAAGGGACCUAGCGUAGUUCGGAAUUACUGGGCUUAAAGAGUUCGUAGGUGGUUGAAAAAGUUAGUGGUGAAAUCCCAGAGCUUAACUCUGGAACUGCCAUUAAAACUUUUCAGCUAGAGUAUGAUAGAGGAAAGCAGAAUUUCUAGCGUAGAGGUGAAAUUCGUAGAUAUUAGAAAGAAUACCAAUUGCGAAGGCAGCUUUCUGGAUCAUUACUGACACUGAGGAACGAAAGCAUGGGUAGCGAAGAGGAUUAGAUACCCUCGUAGUCCAUGCCGUAAACGAUGUGUGUUAGACGUUGGAAAUUUAUUUUCAGUGUCGCAGGGAAACCGAUAAACACACCGCCUGGGGAGUACGACCGCAAGGUUAAAACUCAAAUGAAUUGACGGGGACCCGCACAAGUAGUGGAGCAUGUGGUUUAAUUCGAAGAUACGCGCAGAACCUUACCAACACUUGACAUGUCGUCGCGACUC
rnacentral:rRNA from 1 species